GACAGAGGGUGCAAACGUUGUUCGGAAUUACUGGGCGUAAAGCGUGUGUAGGCGGCCACGUAAGUCGGAUGUGAAAGCCCCAGGCUCAACCUGGGAAGUGCACUCGAUACUGCGUGGCUUGAGUAUCGGAGAGGUUGGUGGAAUUGGGGGUGUAGCGGUGGAAUGCGUAGAGAUCCCCAAGAACACCAGUUGCGAAGGCGGCUGGCUGGACACAUAUUGACGCUGAGGCUCGAAAGCAUGGGGAGCAAACAGG
rnacentral:rRNA from 1 species